CCUACGGGUGGCAGCAGUGAGGAAUAUUGGUCAAUGGGCGUAAGCCUGAACCAGCCAAGUCGCGUGAGGGAUGAAGGUUCUAUGGAUCGUAAACCUCUUUUAUCAGGGAAUAAAGUGCGGGACGUGUCCCGUUUCGUAUGUACCUUAUGAAUAAGGAUCGGCUAACUCCGUGCCAGCAGCCGCGGUAAUACGGAGGAUCCGAGCGUUAUCCGGAUUUAUUGGGUUUAAAGGGUGCGUAGGCGGCCAGUCAAGUCAGCGGUGAAAGUCUGGGGCCUAACCAUCGAAUUGCCGUUGAAACUGGUGUGCUUGAGUAUGUGUGAGGCAGGCGGAAUGCGUGGUGUAGCGGUGAAAUGCAUAGAUAUCACGCAGAACCCCGAUUGCGAAGGCAGCCUACCAAGCCAUGACUGACGCUGAUGCACGAAAGUGUGGGGAUCGAACAGGAUUAGAUACCCGUGUAGUC
rnacentral:rRNA from 1 species